UCCAAAAAAUUUAAAUAUUGAUUAUAUUAAAUUAAUUUCAGUAAUUGAAUUAAAAUCUAAUAGAACUACAUUUUGUUCUUAAAAAAGUAAUUAAUUUUGUCUAAAUAUUACUUUUGAAAUAAAAAAAUAUUCCAAUCUAGCCGCAUUCCAUAUCUAAUCAUUAGUAGAUGAUAUUCUUCAUUCCUGCAAGAUUAAAUAGAAAUUUUUUUAAAAUUAGUAUAUUAUAUAAGUAUGAAAUAAAUGAUUAGGAUAAAUUUUAGUAAAUCAAUAAAAUUACCUCUGGUUCUUUUUUUAUUGUCUUUUGCCUUUUGUUGUAUGUGUUGUCGUUAAGUGAGUCAAUGUCAACAAUUUCUCUCCGUGCUGUUUUUUUGGUUGAUGGUGUUGAAACCUUUUCUGCUUUCUUGUAUUUUGCACCAAAUUUCAUUACUUCCGGGAUUUCUUCAACCUUAAUGACCGACAUUGAAGAGGUAUCUUUUGUUUUCAAGUUGUACUCUUUGAUUUUGAUGUGGAAAGUUGUUGUCUUUCCAAUUAAUUGAUCAAAUAAACUAUUA
rnacentral:lncRNA from 1 species